UGCCCAGCAACUCCAAUCCCUACCUCCUCGCGGUACUGGCCGGGGUACGAGUAACCUUAGGGAAGAUCGGGUAACCAACCCCCGGUGGGAACUUUGGUCGUAUGCUGACAGGGAAGG
rfam:Aedes aegypti strain Liverpool supercont1.737 genomic scaffold, whole genome shotgun sequence.